rnacentral:tRNA from 1 species
UAAAAUAAAGCAAUAAAUUGCAUUCAGUUUCGGCCUGGAUUUAGAAAAUUUCUAUUUUUU